rnacentral:rRNA from 1 species
UACGUAGGCAGCAAGCGUUGUUCGGAGUUACUGGGCGUAAAGAGUGUGUAGGCGGUGCUCUAAGUUCGGUGUGAAAUCUCCCGGCUCAACUGGGAGGGUGCGCCGAAAACUGGAGUGCUCGAGUACGGGAGAGGAAAGCGGAAUUCCUGGUGUAGCGGUGAAAUGCGUAGAUAUCAGGAGGAACACCUGCGGUGUAGACAGCUUUCUGGACCGUAACUGACGCUGAGACACGAAAGCGUGGGUAGCAAACAGG